GUGCCAGCAGCCGCGGUAAUACAGAGGGUGCGAGCGUUAAUCGGAUUUACUGGGCGUAAAGCGUGCGUAGGCGGCUUUUUAAGUCGGAUGUGAAAUCCCUGAGCUUAACUUAGGAAUUGCAUUCGAUACUGGGAAGCUAGAGUAUGGGAGAGGAUGGUAGAAUUCCAGGUGUAGCGGUGAAAUGCGUAGAGAUCUGGAGGAAUACCGAUGGCGAAGGCAGCCAUCUGGCCUAAUACUGACGCUGAGGUACGAAAGCAUGGGGAGCAAACAGGAUUAGAUACCCUGGUAGUCCAUGCCGUAAACGAUGUCUACUAGCCGUUGGGGCCUUUGAGGCUUUAGUGGCGCAGCUAACGCGAUAAGUAGACCGCCUGGGGAGUACGGUCGCAAGACUAAAACUCAAAUAAAUUGACGG
rnacentral:rRNA from 1 species